AAUGAACGUUAGCGGCGUGCCUGAUGCAUGCAAGUCGAACGGUUUGAUUGUUCGCAAGAAUUAUCAGAUAGUGGCGAACGGCUGAGUAACGCGUAAGUGACCUACCUCUAAGUGGGGAAUAACCUGCCGAAAGGCAAGCUAAUACCGCAUAUGCUGGUAAGCGUAAGGUUUACCAGUAAAGCUUUCGAGCGCUUGGAGAGGGGCUUGCGUCUGAUUAGCUAGUUGGUGGGGUAACGCCUACCAAGGCGACGAUCAGUAGCUGGUCUGAGAGGACGACCAGCCAGACGGGACUGAGAUACGGCCCUGACUCCUACGGGUGGCUG
rnacentral:rRNA from 1 species